UAAGUUUUGUUUCUGAUUUCUGAUCUGUUUCUGCUUCUGGAACUCCCGAGUUUUGCUUUGAUCCUGUCUUCUCAGGUAUUUGUUUUUGUUCUGGACUGAUUCCUGGAUUCUGCCAGCUUACCGAACUUGGAUUGUUCUUCUGACCUAAGCUUGGAUUCUAUUAUGGUACCUCCUCAGCUCUCUGAUCUUCUGCUCUGUUAACCUGGUUCCGCUUCGACUUCAGCUCUGGAUCUUCCCUCAGGGACACUGUUGCUCCUCUGCUCUUCACACCGAAUUGUGAGGCCCGCACCCACUACAAGGUGUGAACAAAUAUCCCAUUUGAAUUCAACUCCUUCCUCUGGAUGGAACUGACCUCAGAACCAGAGGAUCCGGUUUAUCUGCCCAGCUGACAAGCAGUCGCAGGCUUUUUUUGUUUAAAUAAAAGCUUGUUUGAAAUCA